AAAUUACCUAAUGGUAUAGACGAUGAGAAAACCUAGAGUUUGCAGUAAUUAACGUUUUUUAUUUACGUAGUAACUGAGACUCCGCUUAUCCCUUUGAAUUGUUAUUUUAAUAAUAUAUUAUUAAAGGAAAAACGGAAGAUCUUUACUAAUAUUUUAAGUAAAUUAAGUGAAAAAUGUUCUGGAAAACUGUAAACUCCGUAAGUAAUAUAAAAAAAGUAAAACAAAUAUAUAUUGUAAGCUUAUGCUAUAAUACCGUACCUAAAUACUAACACAAGUGAGCAAGUAGAGAAUACGAAGGCGUUCGAGCUAACAAUCAUAAAGGAACUCGGCAAAUUGACUCUCGUAACUUCGGGAUAAGGUGGGCCAUUUCUUCUGAUUAAUAUCAGGCAAGAAAGAGGAGGCAUAGAAUGGUGUUGUACGACUGUUUAAUUAAAACAAAGCACGCUGCGAAGAAAUAAAUUCGAAGUAUUGAGUGUGAUCUCUGCCCGAUGGCGGCUGGUUAACUAAUUUGCUUAGUUAAAUAAAAUAAGCUAGGCUUUGAUGGAAACCCCGUUCAAUGGCGGCCUUACCUAUAAGGGUCCUAAGGUAGCGUAAUACCUUGGCCGUUAAAUGCGGUCUUGCAUGAAUGAUGUAACGAUACAACAGCUGUCUCUAUGAUUGGCUCGGUGAAAUUGGAAUAACUGUGCAGAUACAGUUUACCUUUAGUUGGACGAGAAGACCCUAUGCAGCUUUACUGUUGCUAGUUACUGAGUAUGAUAUAAUGAGUUGUAGCGUAUAAGGUAAUUAAUAUAAAAUUGAAACACCUUUACUUCAUUUAUCAUAUUAUAUAAACCUUACAA
rnacentral:rRNA from 1 species